rnacentral:rRNA from 1 species
CCUACGGGAGGCAGCAGUUGGGAAUCUUGCGCAAUGGGGGAAACCCUGACGCAGCGACGUCGCGUGGAGGACGAAGGAUCUAGGUCUGUAAACUCCUUUUUCACGGAAAGACUUAGGACGGUACCGUGAGAAUAAGCACCGGCUAACUACGUGCCAGCAGCCGCGGUAAGACGUAGGGUGCAAGCGUUGUCCGGAUUUACUGGGCGUAAAGAGCGCGUAGGCGGCUCGUUAAGUGUGGUGUGAAAUCUCCAGGGCUCAACCCGGAAACGGCACCGCAUACUGGCGAGCUUGAGGGAUGCAGAGGUGGAUGGAAUUCCUGGUGUAGCGGUGAAAUGCGUUGAUAUCAGGAGGAACACCCGUGGCGAAGGCGGUCCACUGGGCAUCAUCUGACGCUGAGGCGCGAAAGCGUGGGUAGCAAACAGGAUUAGAUACCCUGGUAGUCCACGCCCUAAACGAUGGAUACUAGCCGUGAGAGGUAUCGACCCCUCUCGUGGCGCAGCUAACGCAUUAAGUAUCCCGCCUGGGGAGUACGGCCGCAAGGUUGAAACUCAAAUGAAUUGACGG